CCUACGGGAGGCAGCAGUGGGGAAUAUUGCACAAUGGGGGAAACCCUGAUGCAGCAAAGCCGCGUGAAGGAAGAAGGUUUUAGGAUUGUAAACUUUUGUUCUUAGUGAAGAAUAAUGACGGUAGCUAAGGAGCAAGCCACGGCUAACUACGUGCCAGCAGCCGCGGUAAUACGUAGGUGGCAAGCGUUGUCCGGAAUUACUGGGUGUAAAGGGAGCGCAGGCGGGAAGCCAAGUCAGCUGUGAAAACUACGGGCUUAACUUGUAGACUGCAGUUGAAACUGGUUGUCUUGAGUGAAGUAGAGGUUGGCGGAAUUCGGAGUGUAGCGGUGAAAUGCGUAGAUAUUCGGAGGAACACCGGUGGCGAAGGCAGCCAACUGGGCUUGAACUGACGCUGAGGCUCGAAAGUGUGGGGAGCGAACAGGAUUAGAUACCCGUGUAGUC
rnacentral:rRNA from 1 species